rnacentral:rRNA from 1 species
CGGUCCUAAGGUAGCGAAAUUCCUUGUCGGGUAAGUUCCGACCUGCACGAAUGGCGUAAUGAUGGCCAGGCUGUCUCCACCCGAGACUCAGUGAAAUUGAACUCGCUGUGAAGAUGCAGUGUACCCGCGGCAAGACGGAAAGACCCCGUGAACCUUUACUAUAGCUUGACACUGAACAUUGAGCCUUGAUGUGUAGGAUAGGUGGGAGGCUUUGAAGUGUGGACGCCAGUCUGCAUGGAGCCGACCUUGAAAUACCACCCUUUAAUGUUUGAUGUUCUAACGUUAGCCCGUAAUCCGGGUUGCGGACAGUGUCUGGUGGGUAGUUUGACUGGGGCGGUCUCCUCCUAAAGAGUAACGGAGGAGCACGAAGGUUGGCUAAUCCUGGUCGGACAUCAGGAGGUUAGUGCAAUGGCAUAAGCCAGCUUGACUGCGAGCGUGACGGCGCGAGCAGGUGCGAAAGCAGGUCAUAGUGAUCCGGUGGUUCUGAAUGGAAGGGCCAUCGCUCAACGGAUAAAAGGUACUCCGGGGAUAACAGGCUGAUACCGCCCAAGAGUUCAUAUCGACGGCGGUGUUUGGCACCUCGAUGUCGGCUCAUCACAUCCUGGGGCUGAAGUAGGUCCCAAGGGUAUGGCUGUUCGCCAUUUAAAGUGGUACGCGAGCUGGGUUUAGAACGUCGUGAGACAGUUCGGUCCCUAUCUGCCGUGGGCGCUGGAGAACUGAGGGGGGCUGCUCCUAGUACGAGAGGACCGGAGUGGACGCAUCACUGGUGUUCGGGUUGUCAUGCCAAUGGCACUGCCCGGUAGCUAAAUGCGGAAGAGAUAAGUGCUGAAAGCAUCUAAGCACGAAACUUGCCCCGAGAUGAGUUCUCCCUGAGACUUAGAGUCUCCUGAAGGAACGUUGAAGACGACGACGUUGAUAGGCCGGGUGUGUAAGCGCAGCGAUGCGUUGAGCUAACCGGUACUAAUGAACCGUGAGGCUUAACCUU